rnacentral:rRNA from 1 species
GACGAACGCUGGCGGCGUGCUUAACACAUGCAAGUCGAACGGAAAGGCCCUGCUUUUGUGGGGUGCUCGAGUGGCGAACGGGUGAGUAACACGUGAGUAACCUGCCCUUGACUUUGGGAUAACUUCAGGAAACUGGGGCUAAUACCGGAUAGGAGCUCCUGCUGCAUGUUGGGGGUUGGAAAGUUUCGGUGGUUGGGGAUGGACUCGCGGCUUAUCCGCUUGUUGGUGGGGUAGUGGCUUACCAAGGCUUUGACGGGUAGCCGGCCUGAGAGGGUGACCAGCCACAUUGGGACUGAGAUACGGACCAGAAUCCUACGGGAGGCAGCAGUGGGGAAUAUUGCACAAUGGGCGGACGCCUGAUGCAGCAAUGCUGCGUGCGGGAUGACGGCCUUCGGGUUGUAAACCGCUUUGGACUGUGACGAAGCGUGAGUGACGGUAAUGGGUAAAGAAGCACCGGCUAACUACGUG